AUUGAACGCUGGCGGCAUGCCUUACGCAUGCAAGUCGAACGGUAACAGGUCUUCGGAUGCUGACGAGUGGCGAACGGGUGAGUAAUACAUCGGAACGUGCCCGAUCGUGGGGGAUAACGUAGCGAAAGCUACGCUAAUACCGCAUACGAUCUGUGGAUGAAAGCGGGGGACCGUAAGGCCUCGCGCGAUUGGAGCGGCCGAUGUCAGAUUAGGUAGUUGGUGGGGUAAAGGCCUACCAAGCCGACGAUCUGUAGCUGGUCUGAGAGGACGACCAGCCACACUGGGACUGAGACACGGCCCAGACUCCUACGGGAGGCAGCAGUGGGGAAUUUUGGACAAUGGGUGCAAGCCUGAUCCAGCAAUGCCGCGUGCAGGAUGAAGGCCUUCGGGUUGUAAACUGCUUUUGUACGGAACGAAACGGCCUUUUCUAAUACAGAGGGCUAAUGACGGUACCGUAAGAAUAAGCACCGGCUAACUACGUGCCAGCAGCCGCAGUAAUAC
rnacentral:rRNA from 1 species